GGAGCCAAGGGAGGCAAAGUGAAGCUUCUGGGGAAACCUGUGCAGAUGCCCUCUCUGAACUGGCCAGAAGCCCUGCCCCCACCUCCUCCUUCUUGUGAACUGAGCUGCCUAGAGGGGCCGGAGGAGGAGCUGGAGGGCAGCUCAGAGCCAGAGGAGUGGUGCCCGCCAAUGCCUGAGAGAAGUCACCUGAUGGAACCCAGCUCCAGUGGGGGGUGCCCGGUCACUCCAUCCCUAAGGGAAACCCCCUCUCCCACGCCUUCCUAUGGACAGCAGUCCACAGCCACUCUUACGCCCUCACCUCCUGACCCUCCCCAGCCCCCAACUGACAUGCCCCAUCUCCAUCAGAUGCCCAGGAGGGUGCCUCUUGGGCCGAGUUCCCCUCUCAGUGUAUCCCAGCCCAUGCUGGGCAUCCGUGAAGGGAGGCCUGCUGGCUUGGGUGCUGGCCCUGCAGCCUCACCCCACCUCAGCCCCAGUCCUGCCCCUAGCACAGCCAGCAGUGCCCCAGGCAGAACCUGGCAGGGGAAUGGGGAGAUGACUCCCCCACUUCAAGGACCCCGUGCUCGAUUCCGGAAGAAACCCAAGGCUCUUCCCUACAGGAGGGAGAACAGUCCUGGGGACUUGCCCCCACCACCCUUGCCACCGCCAGAGGAAGAGGCGAGCUGGGCCCUAGAGCUGAGGGCAGCAGGCAGCAUGUCCUCCCUGGAGCGGGAGCGCAGUGGGGAGAGGAAAGCGGUACAGGCUGUGCCCCUGGCAGCCCAGCGGGGGCUCCACCCGGAUGAAGAGGCCUGGCUCCCGUACAGCAGACCAAGCUUCCUGUCCCGCGGCCAGGGCACCAGCACGUGUUCCACGGCCGGCAGCAACUCUUCCAGGGGCUCCAGCAGCUCUAGGGGCUCCCGGGGCCCUGGCCGGAG
rnacentral:sRNA from 1 species